GACGAACGCUGGCGGCGUGCUUAACACAUGCAAGUCGAACGGAGAUUUAGAGGAGCUUGCUCCUCGAAGAUCUUAGUGGCGGACGGGUGAGUAACACGUGGGCAAUCUGCCUCACACAGGGGGAUAACACUGGGAAACUAGUGCUAAUACCGCAUAACAUAACGAGGUGGCAUCACUUUGUUAUCAAAGGAGCAAUCCGGUGUGAGAUGAGCCCGCGUCCGAUUAGCUAGUUGGUGAGGUAACGGCUCACCAAGGCGACGAUCGGUAGCCGAACUGAGAGGUUGAUCGGCCACAUUGGGACUGAGACACGGCCCAGACUCCUACGGGUGGCAG
rnacentral:rRNA from 1 species